AAAAUUGCUGUGCAAUUUAAGAAGCUUCAACUUCAAACUUAAUGUAAAAAUUAGAAUUCCAAAGUUCACUCCCGAACCGUGACUCCGGCUUUUCAUAGUAUCUGGUAGUCACGCCUUGUAUUCGGCUCAGUCGCAUGGCCGGGCAGUAGAUCUUCAGACCCCAUACUAUGCAGACGCAUCCACUUGCAUCACGCAGUUAGCCUUCAGCUAAUUUUCGCAGCACAGCAGUUUUGAUCCUGGGCCCAGUGCACUUUAGUCGCUUGCUUAUGUAUCUGCUCUGCCCUUGUUCUGAGCUAUCUGUCCGCCUGCGGAGACGAGGUGCAGCCUGACGAGCAGUACGCGACUUCGCUUGCUUGAAUGUUCUUGGCGGUCGGCUUUGGGGGAGCCGCGAUUGUUAGAGACCAAAGAUCGUCGCGCUGAUAGCCUGCGAAGACGUGUAAAGUGGCGCUAAAGAGGAAGGUGCCUGGGAAGGAGUCUGGGAUUCUUCUGAGCUCUUUGUUCUAAUAAAAUUGCUUUGUACCAUGA